rnacentral:rRNA from 1 species
AACCGAGUGGCGGACGGGUGAGUAACGCGUGGGGAACCUGCCUUAUACCGGGGGAUAACAGUUAGAAAUGACUGCUAAUACCGCAUAAGCGCACGAAGAGGCAUCUCUUUGUGUGAAAAACUCCGGUGGUAUAAGAUGGACCCGCGUUGGAUUAGCCAGUUGGCGGGGUAACGGCCCACCAAAGCGACGAUCCAUAGCCGGACUGAGAGGUCGAACGGCCACAUUGGGACUGAGACACGGCCCAGACUCCUACGGGAGGCAGCAGUGGGGAAUAUUGCACAAUGGAGGAAACUCUGAUGCAGCGACGCCGCGUGAGUGAAGAAGUAUUUCGGUAUGUAAAGCUCUAUCAGCAGGGAAGAAGACGACGGUACCUGACUAAGAAGCCCCGGCUAACUACGUGCCAGCAGCCGCGGUAAU